rnacentral:lncRNA from 1 species
AUUUAUCGAAAUAAGAGUUGACCUUUAUAAUUAAUAUUUUCUUGACCAUCAUGCACUUAAUAAAAACUAUAAUAUUUUGAUUUAUAAAUCUACUAAAAUUUAAUUUAACAAAACUUAAUGUAAAUCGAUUAUCUUAUAAAGCACAAAUCACUGCACCAACAAAAUUUUGACAUGUCAGCAAAAAUAAUUAGUUUUCAAAAAUUAAUUGUAAACUUAAGAAAGAUCAUGGUAAAAAGGAAAAAAAUCGAUAUCAC